UGAGUUUGAUCCUGGCUCAGGAUGAAUGCUAGCAAUAUACUUAACACAUGCUAGUCGAAUGUUUUUAAAACAUGGCGCACGGGUGAGUAAUAUACAAGAAUCUGCCUUAUAAAUUGGGAUAAUUUAUUAUUAAAGCUUUUUUAAUAAAAAAAAUACCAAAUGAAAAGAUUAACUAUCGUUAUAAGAUGAGCUUGUAUAGGAUUAAGGUAGUUGGAAAGGUAAAAGCUUAACAAGCCGAUGAUCCUUAGUUGAUUUGAGAGAAUGAUCAGCCACACUGGGACUGAGAUAAGGCCCAGGCUCUUGCCAGCAGUGAGGAAUAUUGGACAAUGGGCGAAAGCUUGAUCCAGUAAUAUUGCGUGAAUGAGGACAGCGAAAAAGAUUUGAGAGUAAAAUCUUAAAUUGGUUGUAAAGUUCUUUCGUUAGUGAAGAUAAUGACUUUAGCUAAAGAAGAAACCCCGGCUAACCUCGUGCCAGCAGCCGCGGUAAUACGAAGGGGGUGAGCAUUAUCCAAAAUGAUUGGGCGUAAAGGGUUCGUAGAUUGCAAAUGUUUUCAUAUGUGAAAGUUUAAUUAAAAUUAAAAAUGCGUAUGAUACUCCUUUGCUUGAGUAUAUUAUGAGAUAACAGAAUUUUAUAGGGAGGAGUGAAAUCCAUAGAUCUAUGAAGGAAUGCCAGUGGCGGAAGCGGUUAUCUAGAAUAUUUACUGACAUUGAGGAACGAAAGCAUGGGGAGCAAACAGGAUUAGAUACCCUGGUAGUCCAUGCUGUCAAUUAUGAAUGCUAACAUUUGGACUUAGUUCAAAUGUACAGUUAACGCGUUAAGCAUUCCGCCUGAGAAGUACGAUCGCAAGAUUGGAACUCAAAGGAAUUGACGGGAGUCUAUACAAGUGGUGGAGCAUGUGGUUUAAUGCGAUAAUACGCGCGAAAUCUUACCAGUUCUUGCAUAUAAUCUAAAAUUUUGCUAAACGAUAUUUAAUUUCGAGUUAAUAAAUUUAUAAAAAUAUUAUACAGGUGCUGCAUGGCUGUCGCCAGCUCGUGCUGUGAAGUGUUUGGUUAAGUCCUUAAACGAGCGAAACUCUUUUUUUAUAUUGGUAAUUUAAAUAUCAAACGGUAAUUUAACCACUUAUAAAAUACUGCCAGUGACAAAUUGGAGGAAGGAGGGAACGACGUCAAGCCCUUAUGGCCCUUAUGAACU
rnacentral:rRNA from 1 species